AGGGGUUUGCUGAGCUAAAGGCUUGAAUGAUCUCGAACAACAUGCCACAAUGGAGCCCAACUUUGGGUAUAGGAGACACUUUAAUCUGCAUUUCUUGUGAAGCACAUAUCAAAGGCUUUUAGGCAACAUUUUGGAAAAGCCUAUUGAGCUCAAAGAUUAAGCAAUGUCAUCUUAUCACCAUCUCCAAUUGAAUGAGCUUGAGCUGUAUGCCAGCAUAGGUGUCAUAUUGGCAUGUUGAAUACAUGUAGCAACAACAACAGCAGCAGCAACGACAUCAUAGCCUGCGAGGCUACUUCUACUUGAUGCUCAAUUACUCUGUUCUGAUAGUAUUUUGUAUGGGUAUUGCAUCAUAGCACGUGAGGCUACUUGAUGCUCCAUUACUCUUUGUUCUGAUUAUAUAUUUUUUGCCCUGUUAUUUACAGAGGUCUCGGGUUAAUCUGGAAGAGGCACAGAACAACAAAAAACAACGCAAAGCUAAAUGAAGUGGGUCUUGCAGAAGCUUCCAAGUUCUUUUGUAGCUUCAACUGCUGUGUUCCCAAACUUUGUAGCGGCCAUACCGUUAGGAUAUUCAAGUAUCCAAGAGUUUUCUCGUCGGCUGUACCCCGUUUCGGCCUAAACUGUUAGUAAUUUGUUGAAUUUUAGAUAUUUAAUUGAAGUGGAUCAAAAUGAUAUUUUUGAGCCGAGCAGCUGAUAUAGGCUCCUCGAACUACAGUGUGUCGCCUGUGCCAAAUCAUCACAGGUUCAUGAUCCACACGAACUAUAAUUGUGCUUCUCAAACUGUGGUGUGGAGCUUGAGCCAUUUUAGAGGAGUCACACACUGUGUGUGUAUUUUAAAAAAAGCGGAUCUGGUUUCUCAUUUUGUAUUAAACCGUUUGGCUGUUUUCAGCAACGUCCUCUAUA
rnacentral:lncRNA from 1 species